rnacentral:rRNA from 1 species
GACGAACGCUGGCGGCGUGCUUAACACAUGCAAGUCGAGCGGUAAGGCCCCUUCGGGGGUACACGAGCGGAGAACGGGUGAGUAACACGUGAGCAAUCUGCCCAUCACAUCGGGAUAACUCCGGGAAACCGAAGCUAAUACCGAAUACGACCACCUCCGGCAUCGGAUGGUGGUGGAAAGUUCCGGCGGUGAUGGAUGAGCUCGCGGCCUAUCAGCUUGUUGGUGGGGUAACGGCCCACCAAGGCUUCGACGGGUAGCCGGCCUGAGAGGGUGACCGGCCACACUGGGACUGAGACACGGCCCAGACUCCUACGGGAGGCAGCAGUGGGGAAUAUUGGACAAUGGGCGAAAGCCUGAUCCAGCAACGCCGCGUGAGGGAUGACGGCCUUCGGGUUGUAAACCUCUUUCAGCAGGGACGAAGCGCAAGUGACGGUACCUGCAGAAGAAGCACCGGCCAACUACGUG